GGGGCGGGGUGCCCAGCUAUGGUACCUAAGGGACCCUAGACUUCUGGAGCCCCUUCAGCCCAAGGUCGGGGCUGGGGGGGUAGAGAGAAGCCUGAGGGAGGUGUGGGUUUAAAGGGCUGUCUGGACCUCCCAGGGUGGUGCCCGAGGCCAAGCUCAGCGGGGAGGGCAUGAACUCAUGGCCCCCGCCCCAGGCCACUGUCCUGAGGACAAUGACCUGGGCCUUCCCUGGCUGGGCCCUGGGGGUUUACAGGGUGGAAUGGGAGGAGAGGCGGAUCCGGGCUAUUCAUAGGCGGGGGUUUUAUAGAUCUUUUCCCACCCUUUGGUGCUGUCUGGGAGAUUGAUCGGCUAAUAAGGCAUUUCUGUUCCAGUCCAGAGGGUGUGAAAAAAGAAGGAGGCGGCCAUCAGCCGAGCCCGGGGGCGGAAGGAAACUCCUGUAAAACUAGACGUUCCCAGGACCAGCACUGGUAGCUGAGAGCCUCCUGCCAGGAUGGCGGGUGGGGAUCGGGCACCCUGGUGUCGGAGCACGGGUGCAGAGGACCUGCCGGAGCAGCCCACGCUUGGGAGCCGGGCCUGGGAAGGGCUGGUGAUAGCAACAAGACCGGCGUGUGUGUGCGUGUGCGUGUGCGCGCGCGCGCGCGCAUGCGUGAUGCAAAGCAGAACGCAGAAAUGCAGGUAAAAGCCUCUCCGGCCGCAGGUUUCCAUCUGUCCCACACAGCGCACGUGAAACUGCCCUGGUGGAGAUAAAAUGAGCCCAGGGCUUUGGCUCCUCAGCCCCCAGGACUGGGAAGGGACGGAGAACUCUCAAAAGGCUCGUCCCGCCACCUGCUCCAGCUCCCUGAGUCACUUCCGAUGGCUCUGCCACUUUACUCCGCUGUCACACUGAGGGGGUGCAGGAUGCCGCGGUUUCUCUUUUCUUAAGCCUCCUUGUGCUUCUUCUGCCGGCCUAUGGCGGUGGCUCCUCUGCCAGAGCCCAGCCCAGAAAGCGUUCCUGUCUGUGGGCGGUGCGGGAGGUUGCCGGAACCGCAUGUGGUUGGGCCCUGGCAGUACUGCCAAGAGCCCCGUGUUCCAGAAAGUUCUUUUCCGUUCUAACAGUCUUCCCUUGUUGCACCGGGUCUGGCAGAACAGGCCUCGGGGGCAGGAAGUGUCCUAGGACUGGAGAGGAUACUCCCGGAGAUGGGAAAGGCAGAAGGAAAGGAAGCCCUCUGGGCUAAGACCUCAGCGCUCCUCAGCCUGAUGCUUCAGGCUCCACCACCCGACCGCCUGAUUUCAGUCUCCCAGGACUUGAACAUCAGGAGCUUGACGGGCCUGGCCCCGCACAGACUGACUCCACAGAUGCACUCUGGUAAGCGCACGUCCACGGCCCCGGCUCUGUGCCCACAUGGGAGCAGAGCGCACACCGAUCUUUCCACGUGACAGACUUUCAAGAUUGGCUCGCAGGAGGAGCUUGACUUCUGUUUGGACGUUCCUGUGGUCUGAACAUCACACCCUUCAGGAGGCAGUAGUGGCACAUAGCUGGUGGGCUCCUUUGCUCAGAGCCCGGCCUGCCAGACGUCGUCUGUGCAUCUCCCUGGGUUUGUUUCCUCAUCUGUAAACUGGAUAACUCUGUUAGGUGGUUGUGAGAAUUUGAUGAAUGAAUUGAUGUAAAACCCUGAUAACAGGGCCUAGCAUCAACUGUUAGGGUGUGUGUUCCUCUUUGUUCAUUUGUUGGUCUGUUUAACCGUCCCUUUACCGCGGGGCCUUCGAGCUGUUUCAGUGAGCGCCUAUUUGAAACAGUGCUGCAGGAAGUCUCCCUGGGCAUUCUGGGUAUUCACGGCACCAGUGUGUCUGUGGGUGGGUUCCGGCGGGGUCCGUGCAACCCGAAAUGGAAAACGGUGGCUCUGAAGAACUGGAUAUUGGUUAAUGGAGAACAGGAUAUGUAAAAUUUUUUUAUUUAAUAUUUUAAUUUUGGAAAAUUUACAUAAGAAAAUUUACUGUCUUAACCAUUUUCAAGCAUACAGUGCAGUGGCAUUAAGUACCUUCCCAGUGUUGUGCGACCAUCACCACCGCCUGUCCACAGAACUUUUUCAUCUCCCCAGGGUGAAACUCUGUCCCCAAUAAACACUAACUUCCAUCCCCAGACCGCCCCCUCCCUGCCCCUGGCAACCUCCAUUCUGUCUCUAUAAAUUUGUCUACUCUGGGCACCUCUUAUAAAUAUUGUGUGUAAUCACACAGUAUUUGUCUUUUUGUGUCUGGCUUUGUUCACUUAACAAAAUAUUCUCAAGUUUUGUCCAUGCUAUAGCAGGUGUCAGAGCCUCAUUCCUGGUAAUAUUCCUCUGUCCGGAUAGACCCCUGUGUUGAUCCACUGAUCUGUCGAUGGACCCUUGGAUCGUUUCCAUCUUUGGCUGCUGUGUAGAGCCACAGGGAACAUGGUGGACAAAUACUCCCCUGGGUUCCUGCUUUCAGUUCUUUCAGGGAUACACCUAAAAGUGGAAUUGCUGGAUCAUAUGGCGAUUCUGUUACCACACUGUUUUGGGGAUGUAUACAUUUUAUUUUUUAAAUUUUACUUAAAAAUUUUUUUUUAAUUUUAUUUUUGAGAGAGAGAGGCAGAGGUCGAGUUGGGGAGGGGCAGAGAGAGAGGGAGACACAGAAUCUGAAGCAGGCUCCAGGCUGUCAGCACAGAGCCUGAUGUGGGGCUUGAACUCACGAACCACAAGAUCACAACCUGAGCUGAAGUCAGAUGCUUAACUGACUGAGCCACCCAGGUGCCCCAGGGAUGUAUACAUUUUAAAUAUUACAACAUGACCACUUGUCCUUCUCUCUGUAUGUGGGACACUGCCUGUGUCCCACCCCUCACCCAUCUGGCUGUGUCAGUCCUUUUGGCUUUUCCAACCAUAUCGAUAUGGGACAAAAAAUUGAGUUUCUCAUAGCCGUGUUAAAUAUUUUUUAAAAGUCUUGCCAGAGUCCUUUGUAUUUCUCCUGUUAAUUGUGUGCAGUGUUUGUAUCACUGGCCCAUCAGUCUCUGGGUUGGGAGGCCUUCUAUUGAUGUAGAAGAGCUUUUACAGUUAGAAACUUGGUUAUUUUGUUUUUAAAUUUUUAUUUUUUUAUUUAUUUGGGGGGUGCAGAGAAAGAGGGAGAGAGAGAAUCCCAUGCUAGGUGUGGAACCUGACAUGUGGCUCUAUCUCACAAACCAUGAGAUCAUGAUCUGAGCCAAAACCAAGAUCAAGAGUCAGACAACCAACUAAGCCAUGCAGGUGCCCUGGAUUUUUGGCUAAAGUUUCUGUAUGGUCAAUUUUAUUUGUCUUCUGUGGUUUCUGGGGUUUCUUUUAAAAAAAAAAAAUGUUUAUUUUUGAGAGAGAGACAGAGCCAGCAGGGGAGGAGCAGAGAGAGAGGGAGAGAAAGAAUUGCAAGCAAGGCUGCACUUACAGCACAGAAUCCGAUGCAGGGCUCAAACCCACAAACUGUGAGAUCAUGCCCUGAGCUGAAACCAAGACUGACUGAGCCACCCAGGUGUCCUGGUUUCUGGGUUUUCUUUUUUAAUGUUUAUUUAUUUUGAGGGAGAGAGAAUGUGAGCAGGGGAGGAGCAGAGACAGAGAGAGAGAGAGAGAGAGAGAGAGAGAGAAUCCUAAGCAGGCUCUAUGCUGUGAGCACAGAGCCCAGCUCGGCUCAAUCUCAUAAACUGUAAGGUCAUGACCCUAGGUGAAAUCAAGAAUUGGACACUUAACUGACUGAGCUACCCAGGUGCCCGUGGGUUUUCUAUCUUACAUAGAAAGUGCUCCCAUUUGGCUGAAGGGCCCCAAAUGGAGAAUUUGUGGAAGUUUCCAUGUGAUAUGGGUGGGACCUCAGGCCCUCCCCACCUCGGGCAGGGAAAGACCCCCUUCCCUCCUCCCUGGCCUCCCCACAAAGGACUAAGAGGCCUUCUUGGAAGCUGUGGCCCUGGGACUUCGACUUGCAGACCCAGGCAGGGACGUGGGUGUGGGGGAGGGGGAAGCAAGGAAUUCUAAAUGAGAUAGAAAAACAUUCUUUCUACAUCAGGGAGGUUCUGCUUCUAUAAACGGCUUUUUAUUUAUCUUAGUAAUAGGCUCUCUUCCCAGAGUAACCGCAGCCUUCCUACCACCCAGUUCCAAGCAGAACUGCCAGAGCCUUCUGUGGAGAGAACCCCAGCCCAGACUUCAAGAUGCUGACAUUUGGAUGUCUUUCCGGAAACAACAAACCCCCAGCUAGAGCAAUGGUUCUCCACCGGAGGGUGAGGGGGGCUCCCCCCAGACAUUCUGGAGAGAGUCUUGUCGCCGCUGGGCUGGCACGUAGUGGGGAGAGGCCAGGGAUGCUGCUAACACCCUCCAGCGCACAUGACACCCCCACAUGGAUGCACCUGCUCUACACUGUCAAUCGCGCCACACUGGAGAAACUCGGCCUCAGGUGUCUGCGCACUGGCUCUCUGCCAAGGGCCCUUCUCUACCUCUUCUGGAUUAGUAGUCGGGCUGUUUCAUGGUACUCAACCUUCUCGAAUGCUAAAGAGUAGGUGAUACAUAUUGUGGAGUUUUUAUUCUCUCUAGCUGCCUAGGCCCUGACCCCUUCCUGUAAGUAGGAGACCACUGGUAUCCAAGGUGUCCAGUAAUGUCAUGGAAGCAAAAUAAGCCAGACACGUGCUUUUCCAGGUGCCCUUCCAGCCAACGUACAGGUUGUCAGAUGCACUGGUGCCCCACAGUGGGGACAGGGACUGUGUCCCUGUGGGGGUGGUGGGCCUCGCACAAACAAGCCACAAAGGUUCUAUGUGGCAGGAUUUGGUGGCGACAGCAGGUUCCUCACAGGUCAUUCUGAAGCCAGGUCUGGGCACUGUUGUUAGCUGCCUGGCACCAAGUCCUGUCUGCCUGACAAUUCUGUAGGCUUUUAGAUACUUUUGAUCAGUUCCCUUUUACUUUUAACAUUGUGUCCAAUCCUGUGGCUUGCCACCAAGAAUCCCAGCUGAUAUCCGUGGAUUCGUCAUAGUGAGGGAAACACCAGAGGCCAGUGAGAUGUUCAACACUGAUUUAACUCUGCUUUUCUACAGAAAAGUUAAAUGUGAAACUUUCCGCAUAAAAGAAUCCGAGUGCCCUACCCAAAACCCCAAAUACAGGAAGUUAUCAUCAUGAUUAUGUUGCGACUGGGGAAAAGAAAGGCUGACAUUGUAGACUUCAUUACCAGUCUGUGUAUGAGGGAUAGGAUUUGGACUCAUGGUAUAAAAUUGUGGAAUUGGAUUUAAGAAGAAGGCCUUACCACACACAUACUUAUUUUGCCUUGCUUUUGGUUCUUUAGGAGUAAAGUGGCUUGGUGUGGAGUAAUAAGUGACAAGUGUUUUGACAGUCUGUGGAAUCCAUGUGAAAACCAGUGUCAGGCAAGGAAAAGGCUAUUGCCAGCACUGCUG